rnacentral:rRNA from 1 species
UACAGAGGGUGCAAGCGUUAAUCGGAGUUACUGGGCGUAAAGGGCGCGUAGGCGGUGUUGCAAGUGAGAUGUGAAAUCCCUGGGCUUAACCUAGGAACCGCAUUUUAGACUGCAAUGCUAGAGUACAGUAGAGGGUAGUGGAAUUUCCGGUGUAGCGGUGAAAUGCGUAGAGAUCGGAAGGAACACCAGUGGCGAAGGCGACUACCUGGACUGACACUGACGCUGAGGCGCGAGAGCGUGGGGAGCAAAC